UUGGAGUUUCAUCGAUUAAUUCUUCUUCAAGCUUCAGCGGUUUUAGUACAUCUCCAUUCCUGGCUCGCCCAGCUAGGAGGAGUAAGUCUUAGCCUUGUGCACAUGUUAUCUGUAGUAGCGCUACCUUGCGACUGCGGUCGAAGAUCCGGCUACGGCUGUUGAUAUUCUGUUCUGUUCUGUUCUUUUUCGACUUCACAGUCGAUGUUCCACCUUCAUGCUGUUGAUUCUGUUAUCAGUCAGGGAGAUGUACACGAGAAGAUCAAGUCUAGGAUCGGGGAGUGUCUGGGAGUAUUUUCUGCUUUUAACAGUACCUUUGUAGUGCAUUUUAUCUGUGGUUGUGGAGGUAGUAUAAGAAGAAAGGAAGCGAAUAUAAAUCAUGAAUGCAGUUUUUGAGUAUGAUCUUGUGUGGAACAAGUGUCAAAACAUAAGCCAUGAUCAUACACAUGA